rnacentral:rRNA from 1 species
UACAGAGGUGGCAAGCGUUGUUCGGAAUUACUGGGCGUAAAGGGCGCGUAGGCGGCCAUCUAAGUCAGACGUGAAAUCCCCCGGCUUAACCUGGGAACUGCGUCUGAUACUGGACGGCUGGAGUUUGGGAGAGGGAUGUAGAAUUCCAGGUGUAGCGGUGAAAUGCGUAGAUAUCUGGAGGAAUACCGGUGGCGAAGGCGGCAUCCUGGACUGGUCCUGACACUCAGGAGCGAAAGCGUGGGGAGCGAUCCGG